rnacentral:misc_RNA from 1 species
AAUAAUUUUGAGUAUGCUUCUCAGCAUAUUUCUAAUUUACUGUGAACUGUUUUACUGUUUAGCGUUUUGAGGGAUGCUUAAAGACUAUAGGGAUAGGUCUUUAGGAUGUUAACCUAGCUAAAGUCAGGCUUAGGCCUGGUAUCCUAAUUCAUUAUUUACCAAAAGAAUUCAGAAUUAAUAUUGUAACAUAAGCGUAAAAAACUUAUAAAA